UUACGGGUAGCCGGCCUGAGAGGGCGACCGGCCACACUGGGACUGAGACACGGCCCAGACUCCCGGGGCAGCAGUGGGGAAUAUUGCGCAAUGGGCGAAAGCCUGACGCAGCGACGCCGCGUGGGGGAUGACGGCCUUCGGGUUGUAAACCUCUUUUACCCAACGCAGGCUCCGGGUUCUCUCGGGGUUGACGGUAGGUGGGGAAUAAGGACCGGCUAACUACGUGCCAGCAGCCGCGGUAAUACGUAGGGUCCGAGCGUUGUCCGGAAUUAUUGCGUAAAGAGCUCGUAGGCGGCGUGUCGCGUCUGCUGAAAGACCGGGGCUUAACUCCGGCUGCAGUGGAUACGGGCAUGCUAGAGGUAGGUAGGGGAGACUGGAAUUCCUGGUGUAGCGGUGAAAUGCGCAGAUAUCAGGAGGAACACCGGUGGCGAAGGCGGGUCUCUGGGUUACCUGACGCUGAGGAGCGAAAGCAUGGGGAGCGAAGGAUUAGAUACCCUGGUAGUCCAUGCCGUAAACGUUGGGCGCUAGGUGUGGGGACUUUCCACGGUUUCCGCGCCGUAGCUAACGCAUUAAGCCCCGCCUGGGGAGUGGCCGCAAGGCUAAAACUCAAAGGAAUUGACGGGGGCCCGCACAAGCGGCGGAGCAUUGCUUAAUUCGACGCAACGCGAAGAACCUUACCAAGGUUUGACAUCACCCGUGGACCUGUAGAGAUACAGGGUCAUUUAGUUGGUGGGUGACAGGUGGUGCAUGG
rnacentral:rRNA from 1 species